AAUGAUUCGAAUCAAUAAUGGAAGUUUAAGUUUUUCAACUUUUCUUUUAGGUUCUGAGGUACAUGUGAAGGUUUGUUACGUAGAUAAACACGUGUCAUGGGGGUUUGUUGUACAUAUUAUUUCAUCACCCAGGUAUUAGGCUCAGUAACCAAUGGUUAUCUUUUUUCUCCUUCCCCUCACUACCAUCCUCCCCCUCAAGCAGCUCCCAGUGUCUAUUAUUUUCCUCUUCGUGUUCGUAAGUUCUUAUCGUUUAACUCCUACUUAUACAUGAGAACAUGUGGAAGUACAUAUCCCUGAUAAUGUAAGAAAACUAAGUGAAGAGGCUAACAAAUUUAAGUGGAAAAGAGCAGCAUAAAAAGAAGAAAC
rnacentral:lncRNA from 1 species